rnacentral:rRNA from 1 species
GCGACCCCCGGAUGGGCGAGGCCACC